UCGAAUAGUUAGGGUAUGAUUUGAAGAAAUAAGGUCGAACAAUUAGGGUACAACUUUAAAGAAACAUAAAGGAGGUUGGACAAUCAGAGCGUAGCUCUAAAAAAACAUGGGAAGGUCGCAUAUUCAAGGCGUGACUCUAUGAAAACAUAAAGGAGGCUAAACAAUCAUGGCGUAGAUCUAAAGAGACAUGGGAAGGUUGGAUAGUCAAGGCACGACUCUAGGAAAUAAUAAAUGAGACUAGAUAGUCAAGGUGCGACUCUAAAGAAACAUGGGAAGGUCGAACAGUCAAGGUGCAACUCUUUGAGACAUAAAUAAGCC
rnacentral:lncRNA from 1 species